AGAGUUUGAUCCUGGCUCAGAACGAACGUUGGCGGCAUGGAUUAGGCAUGCAAGUCGAGGGAAUCCCCGCGGGGGGAACCGGCGUAAGGGGCAGUAGGGCGUGGGUACCCACCCCGGGGUCCGGGAUAGCCCGCCGAGAGGCGGGGUAAUACCGGAUGGUCUCGGGAGAGGAAAGGUCCGCCGCCCCGGGCGGGGCCCACGUGGUAUCAGCUAGUUGGUGGGGUGACGGCCCACCAAGGCGGGGACGCCUAGCGGGUGUGAGAGCACGACCCGCGCCACUGGCACUGAGACACUGGCCAGACACCUACGGGUGGCUGCAGUCGAGGAUCUUCGGCAAUGGGGGCAACCCCGACCGAGCGAUGCCGCGUGGGCGACGAAGGCCUUCGGGUUGUAAAGCCCUGUCGAGGGGGAGAACGGCGGAUCGAUCCCUGGAGGAAGCUCGGGCUAAGUUCGUGCCAGCAGCCGCGGUAAGACGAACCGAGCGAACGUUGUUCGGAAUCAUUGGGCUUAAAGGGCGCGUAGGCGGGCGGCCGCGUCCGGGGUGAAAUCCUCCGGCUCAACCGGAGAACGGCCCCGGGUACGGGCCGUCUGGAGUGGGGUAGGGGCCCGCGGAACGGUGGGUGGAGCGGUGAAAUGCGUUGAGAUCCACCGGAACUCCGGCGGCGAAGGCGGCGGGCUGGACCCUUACUGA
rnacentral:rRNA from 1 species